rnacentral:rRNA from 1 species
CUACGGGGGGCUGCAGUUAAGAAUAAUCUACAAUGCGCGAAAGCGUGAUAGUUUGAGCCAGAGUGAUUCUCAAUGAGAAUCUUUUGCCGAAUGUAAAAAGUUCGGCGAAUAAGGACUGGGUAAGACGAGUGCCAGCCGCCGCGGUAAUACUCGCGGUCCAAGUCGCAGCCAUUUUUAUUGGGUCUAAAACAUCCGUAGCUUGCUUGAUAAGUCCCUUGUGAAAUCCUACGUCUUAAACGUAGGGCGGGCAAGGGGUACUGUCAAGCUAGAGACUGGGAGACGUAAGCAGUACGUUCGAAGUAUCGGUAAAAUGAGUUAAUCUCGGACGGACUCACAAUAGCGAAGGCAGCUUACGAGAACAGUUCUGACAGUAAGGGAUGAAAGCUAGGGGCGCAAAACGGAUUAGAUACCCCAGUAGUC